rnacentral:snoRNA from 1 species
GGUCUUUGAUGAUAUAUUUAAGGCUUGUUUCUCAAAACGUUCGCAGUGGCCGCCUAAGGCUUUCGCCUUUCGCCGGGCUUGAGAGCCGAUGCUGCUUUCCUUGGAUGUCUGAGACA